AAAACGUAAUUUAAAUUAUUACAUUACAUGUGCAUUAAGUAAUUUAAACAAUCGAACAAGGAUUUAUUUUCAUUAUCAAUUUAUUUAUAUAUUACUACUUUUUCAUUGUAUUCUUAUUUAUUGUUCAAGCUAACUGUAUCCGAGAUAUUUACGCUAUCUCGCCUAAAGAAAACUAUUUUAAAUAAAAUACCAUUACUGAAAGUUACCUCUACUGAAUCAUUGAAGUGACUGAUUGGUGUAAAACAACUACCCUCAAAAUAGGCCACCAUUCAUGAAAAUGCUUUACCCAUUGUUCCAUCAAUGUAGCUGGGCAGACAAUUAUGCUGGGUCCUAAUCCUCGAAAUCUAUUAAGAAGGGCGCAUUGCACGUUACUAAUAUUGUAAACGAUAAAGUGUGACAGUGAUAGCUUGUGUAAUGCUUAUUUAUGUUUACCUUCCACCAUCGGAAAGUAAUUCGCUACAAUCCAAGCCUGCAAGAAAUGCAA